UAAGCCACUACCCAAAGACUAUACAUGGACUGACCCUGGGCUCCAACCUCAUAGAUAGCAAUGGAUAGCCUAGUAAGAGCACCAGUGGAAGGGGAUGCUCUUAGUCCUGCUAAGACUGAACACCUAGUGAACGUGAUUGUUUGGGGGACGGUGGUAAUGGGGGAAGGAUGGGGAGGGGAAGCCCAUAUAGAAUGGGAGGGGGAGGGGUUAGGGGGAUGUUGGCCCGGAAACCGGGAAGGGGAAUAACAAUCGAAAUGUAAAUAAGAAAUACUCAAGUUAAUAAGAUUUAAAAAAAAGAAUCCUUUUAACCUCAUACAUGUGAGAUAUAUAGGUUUCACCCCUGAGGAGUUUUAUUAUGCUUUACAACAUGUCUGAUAUUUCUGAAUUCUUAUAAAGAGAUACAUGGGGAACAGGUAUGAUGCUGGGUUUUAAGGAAAUAAAAUACUGUUGAAAAUGAUAUUAAA
rnacentral:lncRNA from 1 species